rnacentral:snRNA from 1 species
GUGCUCGCUUCGGCAGCACAUACACCAAAACUGGAGCGACACAGAGAAGAUUAGCAUGGCCCCUGUGCAAGAAUGACAUGCAAAUUCAUGAAGCAUUCCAUAUCUUU